GACGAACGCUGGCGGCGUGCUUAACACAUGCAAGUCGAACGGAAAGGCCCUGCUUUUGUGGGGUGCUCGAGUGGCGAACGGGUGAGUAACACGUGAGUAACCUGCCCUUGACUUUGGGAUAACUUCAGGAAACUGGGGCUAAUACCGGAUAGGAGCUCCUGCUGCAUGGUGGGGGUUGGAAAGUUUCGGCGGUUGGGGAUGGACUCGCGGCUUAUCAGCUUGUUGGUGGGGUAGUGGCUUACCAAGGCUUUGACGGGUAGCCGGCCUGAGAGGGUGACCGGCCACAUUGGGACUGAGAUACGGCCCAGACUCCUACGGGCGGCAGCAGUGGGGGUUGUUGCGCAAUGGGCGGAAGCCUGAUGCAGCAACGCCGCGUGCGGUAUGACGGCCUUCGGUUUGUAAACCGCUUUCGCCUGUGACGAAGCGUGAGUGACGGUAAUGGGUAAAGAAGCACCGGCUAACUACGUG
rnacentral:rRNA from 1 species